AGGUUGCUUCCUGAGAAGGAGUGCUGCAUAGCCAGAGAUGCCUUUUGCCAGUUAGGUCCUGAGACUUCUAGACCUUUUAGCCAGCUUCACCUCUGUAACUGCAUCCUAGUAUAUAUGCUGUGUGGGCAAUAUUGGUCAUCAAACUCCACUGGAGCAUGGAGCUGGUGCAGACUGCAUGGAGAGUCAGGUGAGAAACCCGUGAAAUCUGUUCUUAUUACUCCAUUGAUUCAAAUGGCAGCACUUGCGGAAGCGUGCUAGUGAGGGGCCUUGCAGAUGUCCACUCUGAUCAUGAAGUUGAUAACAGAUACGUUAAAAUGCUGGUAUCAGACAUGUUACUAAGAUUGAAGCCAUGUGCUGUGUCUGCUGGCAUUUUACUCCCCACUCUUCAGACUGUGCUGGUCACCACCAAAAUCUCCCUAACCUGAUCUGGUAUCAACUCCCUUGGAGUCAGGAAACUUGGCAAAACUGUAAAGCGGAGGGAGUUGGCAGUGUGCUGGGGUAUUGAGAAUUGUCUGAUUUCAAAGUGGGAUUGGCCCCAAAAGCAUAGAAAGGUGCCUGUGUCACAUCUACCUUGCCUGAUCGCUGCAGUCUAUUCCACAGAACUUCUCUGUGCCAACUCAUGUUAGACAGGAGGUGGCUUGUGUUUAAUGAAAACAUUAUCUAAAACCAAAAAAAGAAAUGUGCUGCUUCUAUUCAUAAUCUGUCUCAGUAAUGUGUCAGAGCUAAAUUGUUGCUUAUUUCUGAAUUUGUUGCUAUUUUUAGCUGUAAUGUCUUACCAUUGAUUCUUGCAGCGCGUUUCUGUUCUAGGUUAGGCAGCCCUUGGAGGUUAUCUGUUUUUCACCAUGAAGGUGUUCAUGUGCACCAUAAUCAGAUGUUCUUUAUUCUCUUCUUUGAUAAACCAGGCAUGCUAGGCUCCUGUGGAGAAGCAUUUUCUCUAGCCUUCCUGCUACGAUUACUCUUUAUUCUGUAAUUGCAAUCAAUGUGGUCAAAAAGCAAUUUAUAAGUUACAUGUCAGUCUAUGGUAUGUUUUCUGGAUGGCAUAGUGCUCACAGAAGGAGUGAUAUCCUGUUUCCUCUCUGCUUUGCACAAUGAAAAUGUAUGAUGAUCUAAGAAUGGCAAUGCCAACAGUUCUUUUAGACUGUGGAGUUCUUUUAGACUGUGGCUGUGAAGAUGCUAGUACAGCACAAGCUGUAAAACAGCCAAUGUAUCACCAUACAUUUUUUAUAAUCUUAAGUUUUCCCUUUACAACUCUUGCAUUCAUUAGCAAGCAUUUGUCGAAUCAUGCUGUUCCUUUGAGUUUCUCAAAUGCCGUACUUGAAGUCAAGCAGUGUGUGCAUUCAUUAAGAUACUGGCCUAUCACAACACAUUCCCACUUUUCUUAUUAUGAAGAUCAAUUUAAAUUCAUUAUUGCCAGCUGUUUCUACAGUGCUGUGAUUAGUGAUCCUUAUUAAGUCAACUCAUUGCCCUGCGUAGGAAAAAUAACAGGGUUGUUCAGUUAUGUUAAUUUUUUCUGGCAAACUUAUCAUCACAAAAGAACAGCAUUUGUUUGACCUAAUUUUGCUCUUUUAAAAUGCCCUCUGAAGUACUAUUUUGCAAAGUAAUAAAACUACAAU
ensembl:lncRNA